rnacentral:rRNA from 1 species
UACGGAGGGGGCUAGCGUUGUUCGGAAUUACUGGGCGUAAAGCGCACGUAGGCGGCUUUGUAAGUUAGAGGUGAAAGCCCGGAGCUCAACUCCGGAAUUGCCUUUAAGACUGCAUCGCUAGAAUCGUGGAGAGGUGAGUGGAAUUCCGAGUGUAGAGGUGAAAUUCGUAGAUAUUCGGAAGAACACCAGUGGCAAAGGCGACUCACUGGACACGUAUUGACGCUGAGGUGCGAAAGCGUGGGGAGCAAACGGG